UACGAAGGGUGCAAGCGUUACUCGGAAUUACUGGGCGUAAAGCGCACGUAGGCGGUCUUUUAAGUCGGGGGUGAAAUCCUGGAGCUCAACUCCAGAACUGCCUUCGAUACUGGAAGACUCGAGUCCGGGAGAGGUGAGUGGAACUGCGAGUGUAGAGGUGAAAUUCGUAGAUAUUCGCAAGAACACCAGUGGCGAAGGCGGCUCACUGGCCCGGUACUGACGCUGAGGUGCGAAAGCGUGGGGAGCAAACAGG
rnacentral:rRNA from 1 species